AUUGAACGCUGGCGGCGUGCUUAACACAUGCAAGUCGAUCGGUAACGCGGGGGCAACCCUGGCGACGAGAGGCGGACGGGUGAGGAACGCUUGGGAAUCUGCCUAUCAGCGGGGGACAACCCGGGGAAACUCGGGCUAAUACCGCAUACGCUCUACGGAGGAAAGCCGGGGACCGCAAGGCCUGGCACUGAUAGAUGAGCCCAAGUCGGAUUAGCUAGUUGGCGGGGUAACGGCCACCAAGGCGACGAUCCGUAGCUGGUCUGAGAGGACGAUCAGCCACACUGGGAAUGAGAAAAGGCCCAGACUCCUAAGGGAGGCAGCAGUGGGGAAUAUUGGACAAUGGGGGAAACCCUGAUCCAGCGACGCCGCGUGGGUGAAGAAGGCCUGCGGGUUGUAAAGCCCUUUCGGUAGGGACGAAAGCUCUCGACCUAACACGUCGGGAGGUUGACUUAACCUACAAAAGAAGCACCGGCUAACUCUGUGCCAGCCGCCGCAGUAA
rnacentral:rRNA from 1 species